rnacentral:rRNA from 1 species
AGUGAACGCUGGCGGUAGGCCUAACACAUGCAAGUCGAACGGCAGCACAGAGGAGCUUGCUCCUUGGGUGGCGAGUGGCGGACGGGUGAGGAAUACAUCGGAAUCUACUCUGUCGUGGGGGAUAACGUAGGGAAACUUACGCUAAUACCGCAUACGACCUACGGGUGAAAGCAGGGGAUCUUCGGACCUUGCGCGAUUGAAUGAGCCGAUGUCGGAUUAGCUGGUUGGCGGGGUAAAGGCCCACCAAGGCGACGAUCCGUAGCUGGUCUGAGAGGAUGAUCAGCCACACUGGAACUGAGACACGGUCCAGACUCCUACGGGAGGCAGCAGUGGGGAAUAUUGGACAAUGGGCGCAAGCCUGAUCCAGCCAUACCGCGUGGGUGAAGAAGGCCUUCGAGUUGUAAAGCCCUUUUGUUGGGAAAGAAAUCCAUCUGGUUAAUACCCGGGUGGGAUGACGGUACCCGAAGAAUAAGCACCGGCUAACUUCGUGCCAGCCGCCGCCGUAA